rnacentral:rRNA from 1 species
UGGGGAAUUUUGGACAAUGGGCGAAAGCCUGAUCCAGCAAUGCCGCGUGUGUGAAGAAGGCCUUCGGGUUGUAAAGCACUUUUGUCCGGAAAGAAAUGGCUCUGGUUAAUACCUGGGGUCGAUGACGGUACCGGAAGAAUAAGGACCGGCUAACUACGUGCCAGCAGCCGCGGUAAUACGUAGGGUCCAAGCGUUAAUCGGAAUUACUGGGCGUAAAGCGUGCGCAGGCGGUUGUGCAAGACCGAUGUGAAAUCCCCGAGCUUAACUUGGGAAUUGCAUUGGUGACUGCACGGCUAGAGUGUGUCAGAGGGGGGUAGAAUUCCACGUGUAGCAGUGAAAUGCGUAGAGAUGUGGAGGAAUACCGAUGGCGAAGGCAGCCCCCUGGGAUAACACUGACGCUCAUGCACGAAAGCGUGGGGAGCAAACAGGAUUAGAUACCCUGGUAGUCCACGCCCUAAACGAUGUGCAACUAGGUUUGUUGGGGAUUCAUUUCCUUAGUAACGUAGCUAACGCGUGAAGUUGACCGCCUGGGGAGUACGGUCGCAAGAUUAAAAGC